CAGUCUCUUCCUCUUCUUCCUUCUGCCAAACCUCACAGGAAAUCCACAUCCACCAUAGAAUCUUGCCUAACUCCAUCUCCUCUUAGUUAUAUCUUCCAACUAGAAGUUGAUUUCAACCUCAAGGUUGAACCCCAAAUUUGGAACCAUACCCUAGCCAAGGCGCGACUCGCUACCUCCAUCGUCGGCCUCCACAACGAAGCUACAGUCGUGACUCGCCACCUCCGUCGCCGACUUCCACCACAAAGCCACAACACGUUCUUUGUCGAUCUGCACUGUGUUGGAAGAUUGUCUUAUUUCAAGUGGGGGCAUUCUUUUGGGGAGGAAAUUGCUAACUUUCAGCUUAAAUUCAGGUUUAAGAGGAGAUCACCUGGAAUUUUGCUGAUAGAUAUAAAAUGUGUUAAAAUUCCCGAUCAAGAGGAGAUGUAAAUUUUUUGUUUUCAGCCA